rnacentral:rRNA from 1 species
AUUGAACGCUGGCGGCAUGCUUUACACAUGCAAGUCGAACGGUAACAGGCCUUCGGGUGCUGACGAGUGGCGAACGGGUGAGUAAUGCAUCGGAACGUGCCCAGAGGUGGGGGAUAACGCAGCGAAAGCUGUGCUAAUACCGCAUGUGAUCUGAGGAUGAAAGCGGGGGACCAGGCAGCAAUGUUUGGCCUCGCGCCUUUGGAGCGGCCGAUGUCAGAUUAGGUAGUUGGUGGGGUAAAGGCCUACCAAGCCGACGAUCUGUAGCUGGUCUGAGAGGACGACCAGCCACACUGGGACUGAGACACGGCCCAGACUCCUACGGGAGGCAGCAGUGGGGAAUUUUGGACAAUGGGCGCAAGCCUGAUCCAGCAAUGCCGCGUGCGGGAAGAAGGCCUUCGGGUUGUAAACCGCUUUUGUACGGAACGAAAGGCUCUGGCUAAUACCUGGGGCUGAUGACGGUACCGUAAGAAUAAGCACCGGCUAACUACGUG